rnacentral:rRNA from 1 species
AACGAACGCUGGCGGCAUGCCUAACACAUGCAAGUCGAACGCGUGUAGCGAUACACGAGUGGCGGACGGGUGAGUAACGCGUGGGAACCUGCCCAAUGGUAGGGAAUAACUGCGGGAAACUGCAGCUAAUACCCUAUGCUCCCUACGGGGGAAAGAUUCAUCGCCAUUGGAGGGGCCCGCGUCGGAUUAGCUAGUUGGCGGGGUAAUGGCCCACCAAGGCUACGAUCCGUAGCUGGCUGAGAGGAUGAUCAGCCACACUGGGACUGAGAUACGGCCCAGACUCCUACGGGAGGCAGCAGUGGGGAAUAUUGGACAAGUGGGGGAAACCCUGAUCCAGCAAUGCCGCGUGAGUGAAGAAGGCCUUAGGGUUGUAAAGCUCUUUCGGCGGGACGAUGGUGACGGUACCCGCAGAAGAAGCCCCGGCUAACUUCGUGCCAGCAGCCG